AGGAUGAUCCUCAUCUAUAUGACUACAAUGUUGAACAAUGCAUAAAUGGUUUCAUUGAUGCUGCUAGGACUCAAGCAAAUGUGACACGUACAAAUCACAUCAUGUGGACAAUGGGUGAUGAUUUUCAGUAUCAAUAUGCUGAAUCUUAGUUCAAACAAAUGGACAAGUUUAUCCAUUAUGUUAACAAGUUGUCUGUUUGGAUGGUGAUGGUUGCAAGUUAAGAAGUGGACUGGUGAAAAUUGAAGAAGGUUUAACUCUUGACACGUUAAUUGCUUAUGAUUCAUGUGAUCUUUGGUAAGUACAUUUCUUUGACAAAGCUUCCUAGAAACCAAACUAAUGAUAAUUGUCAACUCUUAAACUCACUGACACACGUGCCCUUAACAGCAAGAUGACUCUCAUGCACCAUCUCUGCAAGGUAACAUCUUUCAUCCAAAGUGAUGCUUUUUCUUCCACUAGGCUAUUAGGCAGCAGUCUUUGAAAUAUAAUGCGAAC